rnacentral:SRP_RNA from 1 species
GCUGGGCAUGGUGGCUCAUGCCUGUGGUCCCAGCUACUCAGGAGGCUGAGGCAGGAGGAUUGCUUGAGUCCAGGAGUUGGAGGCUACAGUGAGCUAUGAUGGCACCACUGCACUCCAGCCUAGGCGACAGAGCGAGACUCUGUCUCUA